AUGUCAGAUCCUUCUCAAGGAUUGGGUGACAAAGGAAAUGAUGUACAAGCUGAGGUCAAUGACAAUGAGAAAACAAAGAGAGGGAUAAGGAAAAAGGCAAUAGUUGAUGUUGGUAAUAAGGUUAAGGUGAGGAAAACUAGAGUUAAGCGUGCACCAUGUUGGCAACAUUUCAAGGAGGUCAAAGCUGUAUGCAAGAAGAAACCAGGGGCGGUCGUCACGAAGGCAAAAUGCUUGCAUUGUUGUAACUUGUUUGCUUAUACUCCAGGGGGAGCAACUACUAGUCUUAAUCGGCAUGUAGAUGUUUGUGCGGACUAUCUAAACAAGAAGGGAAGACAACAACAACAAUGUACAAUCAAUUUGGAUCCUGAAAAGCCAGGUGCAUCUCUUAUAGUGAAUCAUGAAUAUGAUCAUGCACAAGUCGUUAAAAUCAUAGCAAAGAUGAUAAUUGUGCAUGAAUAUCCUUUUAGGAUGGUAGAGCAUGCUUGGUUUAAUAUCAUCAUGAGAUAUAUGAAUGCAUCAUACAAGUUCAUUGGUAGGAAGAAAAUUAGAGCCGAAUGCAUGAAGGUGUAUCUUUCUGAGAAAGAUAUCCUUAAGAAGCAACUAAGGUCUGUUGAGAGCAUUAGUUUGACAAGUGAUAUAUGGACUUCCAACCAGAAUCUUUCCUACCUAGCUGUUGUUGCUCACUACAUAGAUGAGUAUUGGGUUAUGCAAUGUCGUGUUUUAAACUUGAUAGACUUAGACCCACCUCACACAGGCUUUGUCAUAGCUCAAGCUAUUUUUGAAUGCUGCCAAGAAUGGAAAAUAGAAGAUAAGAUCAUGACAAUGACCAUGGAUAAUGCUGCCUCGAAUGAUUCUGCUGCUAAGAAAUUGAUGGACAAGUUCACUGCUAGGAAAUCAGCAAAAUUCAUAUCUAAGUACUUCCAUGUUCGAUGCUGCGCACACAUAGUGAAUUUGAUAGUCAAUGAUGGCAUGGAACCAUUGCAGCCUUUGAUAGGCAACCUCAGAGAAACUGUCAAGUACUUGAAAAAAUCUCCAUCACGCAUGUCGAACUUCUUGUCAGAUUGCAAGUCUCUUAAUAUUAAAGUUGGAAAAGGAUUAUGCCUAGAUGUAGCAACUAGAUGGAGUUCUACAUACAGAAUGAUAGAUGCUUGA
rnacentral:rRNA from 1 species